AGCCAUGACAGCAGCAAAGAUGAUGAUUCCUACUGGCUGCACUCUCAAUUUUCCAAUGGGAUACUUGUAUAUAUUAAUGCUUUUCAUUGACAAGUGUGUGAACCAUAGAAUACCACCAGCCAUGAGAUCCAGCAAAGAAUCUAGUGUUGAUGCUGCAAUAGCUAAAGAUCCACUCUUUAUAGUAGCAUAUAUCUUGAAAGCAAGCAAAAAGAUAUUUGCCCAAUUAGAAAUGUUCAUUGCUCUCUCAUGUUGGAGCUGUUCCUGAUUUUCCUGCUCUUCAUCAAUGUCAUGCGAGUUCAGGCAAUCAACUUCCUCAAAAGAUUGUAAUGUUGCAAAUUGUUUUUGAUAGUAUUCCUUCUCUCCUGGAAUCAAGCCCUUGGUUUUAGAAAGGUCAAGAUUGAAAGGGGUCUCAGGAUCAAGACCAGCUCGAACCUUAUCAGGCAAAUUGGAGAUGAAAUCACAUUUUAGAUAAGUAACAGAGUUACGACGACGCCGUCUUGAUUCUAUUCCAUUCUUCUGGUUGUCACAUUUAGCUUCACUAGACAACAAUGGCGUUUCUACACCAGCACCUGCCAUUAUAUCUUCUCUUCUAU
rnacentral:misc_RNA from 1 species